rnacentral:rRNA from 3 species
AACGACUCUCGGCAACGGAUAUCUCGGCUCUCGCAUCGAUGAAGAACGUAGCGAAAUGCGAUACUUGGUGUGAAUUGCAGAAUCCCGUGAACCAUCGAGUCUUUGAACGCAAGUUGCGCCCGAAGCCUUUUGGCCGAGGGCACGUCUGCCUGGGCGUCACGC